CAAUAGCGUAUAUUUAAGUUGUUGCAGUUAAAAAGCUCGUAGUUGAAUGUUGGUGUCGAACGAGCGGUCAGCUUCGGCUGUACUGCUCUCUCGACUCCUUCCUUCUGCGGACUACGUCGCACUUUACUGUGUGGCGCUAGGACGCAGAUCGUUUACUGUGAAAAAAUUAGAGUGUUCAAAGCAGGCCGUACGCUUGAAUACAUUAGCAUGGAAUAAUGGAAUAGGACGUCGGGCCUAUUUUGUUGGUUCUAGGACCGUCGUAAUGAUUAAUAGGGACAGUUGGGGCCGUUUAUAUUCCGUAGUCAGAGGUGAAAUUCUUGGAUUUACGGAAGAUAAACUACUGCGAAANCANNNGGCAAGGAUGUUUUCGUNAA
rnacentral:rRNA from 1 species